rnacentral:sRNA from 1 species
GGCAAAUUACAUUUAUGGAAAAUAAAACUAUCAGCCUGGUGCUCUAUAGGCAAUAUUUUGUACUACAGAAUAAACCAAUGAAGUGUUUCUGUUACACAGUCACACAGGGUUUACCUAUACCUAAGACCCUACUUAAAGAGUGGAGUGAUUCCUUAUCCUUUGAAGACAAAGUUAUGACAUAUAGAGAACUUUUGAGACUCUGGUUAGAGUUGACCUUUCUAUAUGCUGAUGCUUAAAUCUGAGUGAAGAGCUCUACCCCACAUAUGAUUCCCUUGAGUCUCUCAAGCAGUCUGUGCUGCUUCUAAACCAUGGAUGCCUGGCAGCUAGAGUUUCUAACAGUAUUUCCAAACACUGGGAAGCAUUUAUCUUAAAUGAAAACUGGACACCACCCACAGCACCUUGGUAAAGGUAAAGUGUCAGCUUUGACGAAUGAAAAAAUGACAGAAAAUUUUCGCUGAUGUUAAAAAAUUUAUACUUGAGAGCAAAAUCUUCGAAGAGAAGGGGAGGAGACUCUGCAUUUCAUGAUUAAGCCAGAAAGAGCAAGGAGACUCACAGAAAACCUGGCUUCCGGAUCCGGCGAAGGUAUGUGAAUUUAGGGAACUCAUCGUUCCCCUCACCGCAUCUAUAAACACACAAGCAAAUAUCCAGGCUGCUCGGGAGCUACCUGCCUUCUCCUUUUACCAUUUCUAAGUCUGCAGCAAUUCCUGAUGUGGAUUAAUUCUGAUUCCUAAUCUGCGAAACAAAAACGGUACUGUCUUUACUAAGGGACGGUUAGAUUAUCUGUUUGCCAACAGCAAUAUUUGGAUGGAAAUUUAAAAUACGUUGUUUUUCCAAGAGUUAGACUUUAAAGGCGGGGAAGCACGGCUUAUGCAAUACUAGCAGCGAAUCGGUUAACCACUAACUUCUUUCGUGUUCAAGAGGCGCUUUCAAGUUUCCAUUUGGAAGCGAAAGAAACUUCACUCCUUUAGCUCAAAGAGACCCUCCUUAUGCGUGCUUACACAAAGCUGCUUCUCUGGUUACAGGUCACAUUGUCUACAUUGCAGAUUUACACUGGGCUGCUUUUGGCAACCUGGCCUCCACUCAAGAUGACCAAUACCUCCAUCACUCAGGGCUGCCUGGGGGAUGUCAUUCUAUCCUGUAGGGCAAGUCGCACUCAGGUGAGCUCCAGGUGUUGAUCGACCUCGGUGACUUAAGAAGCCCUAUGUCUGACUAGGAACUACAAUCAGAUAGACCUGGAAGUUACCGGUGAGGGCUUGGGCUAAGGAUGCAAGUUCACCCAGAGAGGGACCCUCCUCGAAGCUGUAUCCAGCAUUCAGCCUCUACAGAUCUGGAGACCUUUGUUUAGGAAACUCUUAGAAAACUCUGCAAGUUAAAAAUCACUUAUCCAAAUUCACUUACUGUGAGAGGCAAGGCAAAUUUAAGGAGAGAGAAGAGUGCCCACUGAGCUGAGCUUCAUUUUCCCCUCAAGUUCUUUAUUUUCUAAAGGAAUUAGUGCACUCUCCUUUUUACUCCCCCUGUAGAAAUAAAUCCUGCUGUAACAACUGUGUUCUUGCCAUCCUUGUUGUCCUCAUGUUGUCCUUGUUCUUGUUGGAUUUAGGAAGCAGGAAGCGCCUUGAUAAAGAAAGGUUUCCAGUAGAUGCCUUGCCUACCAAAUAGUACUAAAUUUACCAAACCCUGUCUUCUUGUGUGGAGUCAAAGGGUAGAGGGAUGGAGGGUCACUGUAGGUGAGGCAUUUAGGCAGGAGGUUUCUCUCUCUUUGAACCUGCCUUGAUUUUACCUAUUUGGUUGACCCUGAUGGACUUGUCUUAAUGACCAUGGACUUCACACUAACAUAGUUUAAUUCUAGUGUAAAGGAGAAACAUCUGUCACUUGAACUCAAAAUCUAUACUGAUUUCUCUUUAAAAAAAUUUUCAUGUUAAAGAUAAAAGGCUUGCAGAUAUGCACACACAGCUUCUUGAAAAUAAGCGCAUGUCUGUCUCUAAGACAUACCCCAAAAACCAUUAAGGAAAGUAAACUCAAAGUAUACUGAAUUGAAAUGUAAACAAAUUGUGUACCAGAUAUGAUAUUAAGAAGUAUAUUUUAAAUGAUUAAUGAUUCAUUAGUGCAAUUGGGAUUUGGGAAUUGAGUCUAGUUGAAUUUUUUUUACCAUUUAAAUCGUCUAAAUGUCAUGUGAAAACCCUAGCAAUCGUCUAUGUCCAGAACACUUUAGAACAAUUAACACAAUUUUAGAGAGAAAUAAAGUUAUCUUUAUCAACCCAAACAUAGCUAUAAUAUUUUAUAUAAUAAAAUGAUCUAUUAUUAUUUAGCUACAGUUUACAUAUUCAUAAUGAAACAGUAUAUAAGCAAAUGCCUCUGAUAUUACCAGUUGCUGAAUAAGUCAAAUUAUCACUGGAAUCUUUUACAUUUAACUUGUAUGCUGUAGAGUCAGAGAACUGAACUCAAUCCUAUUCCCUCUCUUUUGAAGAAAAGUCAACUCUGAAAAACCCAUUACUGGGACCAGCUGAAACUCAUGAACAAAUAUAUCUUUGUGAAAACUCAUGACUGUCUUUGAAAUACCAAGUAAUCUUAACAUUAUGUCAAGAUAAACGUAAUUCAUAAUGUCAGAGGGCUUUGUAACAGCAUAGUUGAAAGACUUCAAGAUUCAUUUAACAUUCACAUCAUUAUUAUGCAAGACUCACUGCUCCUCAAACAGGACCAUCUCCACACUUGUCUGUAGGUCUCUAGGCAAGGUUUUCAGGAGUUAUUGUAACUCGAGACAUAUUUUAAAUCUUCUCUCUCUCUC